CCUACGGGAGGCUGCAGUCGAGAAUCAUUCACAAUGGGGGAAACCCUGAUGGUGCGACGCCGCGUGGGGGAAUGAAGGUCUUCGGAUUGUAAACUCCUGUCAUGUGGGAGCAAAUUAAAAAGAUAGUACCACAAGAGGAAGAGACGGCUAACUCGGUGCCAGCAGCCGCGGUAAUACAGAGGUCUCAAGCGUUGUUCGGAAUCACUGGGCGUAAGGCGUGCGUAGGCUGUUUCGUAAGUCGUGUGUGAAAGGCGCGGGCUCAACCCGCGGACGGCACAUGAUACUGCGAGACUAGAGUAAUGGAGGGGGAACCGGAAUUCUCGGUGUAGCAGUGAAAUGCGUAGAUAUCGAGAGGAACACUCGUGGCGAAGGCGGGUUCCUGGACAUUAACUGACGCUGAGGCACGAAGGCCAGGGGAGCGAAAGGGAUUAGAUACCCCAGUAGUC
rnacentral:rRNA from 1 species